UUUCAAUUUUUUAAUCAUGCUUUAAAUUCUGAGAAGCAUUUAAUGAUCCAUUAAUGUAAUCAUUUAAUUAUUUAAUUUUUAAUAAAAUCCUAAUAUGUAAUAUUUUAUGACUGAGAAGCACAUUGAUAUGUGUGUGUGUGUGUGUGUGUGUAAUGUCACAGUGUCUAAAACUGUGAUCUGUGGUUAUGUGGUUUAAGUGUUGAUGAUCGGAGCUGCAUAUUUAGACAAAGGGUGCGUGUUAACAUCAAUAACCCGUAAAAUAAAGAUAUCCUAUACUACUAAAUCCAGAUAUUUUGUAUUAUAAAAUAUGACACUGUUUGCCUUCAUUUGGUACGCUUAAUAUCUCCUAAAACCAGCCUGAUUUUGGAAACCCAGCAUCAAUGUUAUGGAAUUUUUGUCAUGAGAGCUACUUCUGCUUCCCACAUUAACAUCAGUACUUUUUUGGUUAAGAAGAAGCUAUUGAGUGUUAAGACUCAGUCGCUGUCAUUGCUGUAUCUCAGAAAGCUGUAGUCUCUAAUCUAUCACAGCAUGAACUGGCUUUAUAUCCUUUUAUUGGCCCUUUGGUCAGCUUUCAGUAAGUUGAUUACAUUUCUUUGCCUAAGAUUUUGUGUCUAUAUAAAAUAUAUUCAAUAUAAUGUUUGGUGUGUUUUUGUACAGAUUUGUCUGAUGCAGUGUACUGGAAUUAUCCUACAACACCAGGGGUGACCCCGAAUAAUCGACGAUUCGAUGCUUCGAUUCGAGGAGCUUGAUUCAACUCCCAAUCUCACAGU
rnacentral:lncRNA from 12 species